AGAUUACCAUGUAUGUGGAACAAAGCAUGGUGAAAUUUAUGUGGAAAGUUUGGAGAAAUUUUACUCAAGCAAUAAUCUGAUUUGUCCAAAAAGCAACCUAAUUUUUAUCUCCUAUCUUCUGUUUAAUGUAUUUAUCUGGUAAAUAUCUCAUGAGAUAAACAUGAAAUAGCACAGGAAUGGAGAGUUAGGAGAGAGAUGAAAGGCCAGGAUUAUUUGGAGGGACAUGAAGGGAGAGGCUGCCUCGUCCCAGAACGGGGGUCCCACGUUGGGCAUGCCUGUGGGAGACAGGUCUGAAGGGAGUAUGGAAGCAAAGAGUGAGUUAAGAGUUUGAACGCAGGGAUGGCAGGAGGAGACAUGUGCCCGGUGGAGAUUUGAAAGCCAGGGAUUUGAACGUGAUGCAAUAGGAGUGAGACCGUGGUGCUGAUUUCCAAGGAAAAGAUUGCAGAUUUGUGCUGGCAGCCUGAGCAGACUGGAAAAAGAGGACAAGCAUGGUCAAGGCAACAUCUUGGACGGACUGAGCAGGAAGGUGAGGAGAGCUUGGCCUGUUUACCUUGAAGUUUGGCUCUUUGUUAGUUCCUCUAUGGAUGGACACCAUAUGGAAAGCACAGAGGAGAUGAUCAGUUGCCCAAGGCCGCUCAGUGGAUAUCCCUCUUUGUAAUUGGUUCUGUUCUGCACCUGCAUUGUCAUACAGCCUGGGAGAAGGACAGCAUGAUGAUAUAUUCCAGGAUGUAUCAGGGGAACGAUCCCCAGUGAUAGCAAAGAAGCAUUAACACUAUUAUACAAGGCCCAGGUAAAAGAACAUCCGGAUUUUUUUGCUGGUCAGGAAGAAUGAAUUACAUAUGAACAAGUGAAGAGCACUGCAAGAAUUAGCAAAAGAAAGGAGAGUCCCCUGUAGAAAUAAAGGUGAGCAAGCCAAACCGUCUAGGUUCCUG
rnacentral:lncRNA from 1 species